rnacentral:tRNA from 1 species
UGGGCGGACGUAGCCAGUG